UACGGGGGGGGGCAAGCGUUUGUUCGGAAUUACUGGGCGUAAAGGGCGCGUAGGCGGCCUUCUAAGUCAGACGUGAAAUCCCCAGGCUUAACUUGGGAACUGCGUCUGAUACUGGGAGGCUUGAGUGCGGGAGAAGGAUGUGGAAUUCCAGGUGUAGCGGUGAAAUGCGUAGAUAUCUGGAGGAACACCGGUGGCGAAGGCGGCAUCCUGGACCGACACUGACGCUGAGGCGCGAAAGCUAGGGGAGCAAACGGGG
rnacentral:rRNA from 1 species